UACAGAGGUGGCAAGCGUUGUUCGGAAUUACUGGGCGUAAAGGGCGCGUAGGCGGUCUUGUAAGUCUUGUGUGAAAUCCCUCGGCUCAACUGAGGAACUGCACGGGAUACUGCGAGACUUGAGUUCGGGAGAGGGAAGCGGAAUUCCGGGUGUAGCGGUGAAAUGCGUAGAUAUCCGGAGGAACACCGGUGGCGAAGGCGGCUUCCUGGACCGAUCACUGACGCUGAGGCACGAAAGCGUGGGGAGCAAACAGG
rnacentral:rRNA from 1 species